GGUGACCGUCGAGGUGACCUGCACCUGGCUCCAUGGCGGAACCGGCCGGCACGGAUUAUUCCCCUCUCGGGAGAGGUCUGCAGCCGGGCCUCAGUGCUUCAGUUCGUGGCCUGGCAUUUUGUGUCAGUGUUUUUUAACCUUUGGACCCUAGUUCAACCGACUCCGAGACCUAGGGGACAGAUCUUAAGUUUUACAAUAACCCAGGGGUCAGACAGGGUCUGAUCUAGCCUGUGGGGCAAGUACGGGGAAGACACGGGACCUCUUGGAGGGGGUCAGUAGGCUUGUAGGGGGAAAGACGCACACAGAGACUAAAGGACGAGAUGGAGCAAGGUUCAACCCCCUAGCUGAGUGUUGGCAGUGUCGGGAUUUUAACGAAGACAUUGGUGCUUAUUAUGGUGAGGGGACUCAGGACAGUUUAGGGGAAGAGAGUGGCAUUUGAGUCCUAACUCGUAAGGAAGACUGGGUAGGACUACUUGAAAAUAACUUUUAAAAAUUAAUUAUAAAGCUGGUAAAAAUAGGAAAACAUCUAUGGCCCCACUGUCCAAAGACGACUUUUAACUUCUUGGAGAAUAUCCUUUCAGAUAGUUGUCUUUGUAAAUGUAUACUUUUAAUGUUUUUUCGUUUGCCUUUUUAAAAUAAAUUUUUUGGGGGACAGGGUCUUGCUCUGUUACCCAGGCUGUAGUGCAGUAGAACGAUUAUAGCUCAUUGCAACCCGGACGUCCUGGGUUCAAGCUAUCCUCACCUCUCAGCCUCUCGACUGGCUAGGACCACAGCCUCGAGCCAUCAUGUCUGGCUAAUUUUUACGUUUUUUUGUAGAGAUGGGGGUCUCGCUGUGUUGUCCAGGCUGGUCUUAAACUCCUUGCUUCAACAGAUCCUCCCACUCCAGCCUCCCAAAAUGUGAUUACAGGCUGAGUCACCACGCCUAGCAUGGUUUUUUUUGUUUUGUUUGUUUUGUAAGCAAAAUUGACAUACAUACUGGAGGUACAAUUCUGUAGCUGGCCUUCUUUACAGAGUUUAGAAUAAAUGUCUUUCCAUGUCAAGUUUUCACUUACAUCCUUUGUAGUAGUUGCAAAAUAUUCCAUUUUAUAGCUGUAUCUUAAUUGUGGAUUAAGGUUGGAGUGCAGUGGCACUAUCAUGGCUUAGUCCAGCCUCAGCCUUCUAGGUUCAAGCGAUCUUCCCACCUCAGCCUCCCAAGAAGCUGGGACUACAGGGACCCGCCACCCCACCUAGCUAAUUAAAAAAAAAAUUGUAGAGAUGGAGUCUCAGUGUGUAGCCCAGUCUCAAGUGACCCUCCCUCGUUGGCUUCCCAAAGCGCUGAGAUUGCAGCUCCCAAGGAGGCAGCAGAAACUGGGGUAAUCACAACGGUCAACAGCAGCAAAGGCAGCACUUUCUGAUUUACUUGACUGCUAUGGAUGCCACCUCUCUCCACGCCUCAGUUUAAUAUCUGACCUGAAAGCCUCUGAAGUUCACUCCUUCGGCCCCACUCCCUUCCUGCUGCCUUUGGGCUCUCCUCAUGUGACUCUGCCUGUUGAAACUGUCUGCUAGCUGGCCCAGCAUCUCCAGGCAUGGCCUCACUCAUCCACCUCUCCCUUGCUGAAGGUCUCCUCAUGUAACACACGAUUCCUUUAGAUGGUCCUUCAUCACCAGCAAGAUGAAACCUAAAUUCAUUGGCAUGGUAGACAAAACUCUAGCCUUGCCUCCCAGAGGCCAGUCUCUGUCUCCGCCACUCCCCAGGUGGACUGCAUUGUGUUUCUGCUGCCAUAAACAUAAUUUAUUCUGACUGGAACAUCUUCUGUGCAUGUCUGCAGAGUGCACUUCACUCCCCCUGCAGUUCAAGCAUCCUUCCUCCACAAAGCCUUUUCUUUUGAUCACUGCAGGACCUGUAAAAGCUAUCCUGGGAUAGCCUGUAUUUACUGGACUGAAAUGAUCUGUUUGCCUAUCAAUUUCCCCAAAUGAUAUAUGGCAAGGAGUAGUUGAAUCUAAGAGCAGAUCUCAAAGCCUAUGUCCUUUCCAUUGCCUUGUACCCUGCUCCCCUCAAGAAUACCUAUUUUUUGGGGUUGGUGGGAGGAUCAUGUGAGAUAAUGCAUGGGCAGUGCCUGGCACACAGUAAGUGCUCAAUAAAUACU
ensembl:lncRNA LAMTOR5-AS1 LAMTOR5 and SLC16A4 antisense RNA 1